GAGCGAACGCUGGCGGCAGGCCUAACACAUGCAAGUCGAACGAACCUUUCGGGGUUAGUGGCGGACGGGUGAGUAACACGUGGGAACGUGCCUUUAGGUUCGGAAUAACUCAGGGAAACUUGUGCUAAUACCGAAUGUGCCCUUCGGGGGAAAGAUUUAUCGCCUUUAGAGCGGCCCGCGUCUGAUUAGCUAGUUGGUUGAGGUAAUGGCUCACCCAGGCGACGAUCAGUAGCUGGUCUGAGAGGAUGAUCAGCCACAUUGGGACUGAGACACGGCCCAAACUCCUACGGGAGGCAGCAGUGGGGAAUCUUGCGCAAUGGGCGAAAGCCUGACGCAGCCAUGCCGCGUGAAUGAUGAAGGUCUUAGGAUUGUAAAAUUCUUUCACCGGGGACGAUAAUGACGGUACCCGGAGAAGAAGCCCCGGCUAACUUCGUG
rnacentral:rRNA from 1 species